AUAAAUUUAAAUAAAUAAUAAGUAAGAUCCCACAAUCAAAAUUUUAAUGCUCGGUACAUUUAACAAAAAUCCAACAAAAUUAAAUUUAUACAUCAUGCGUUUUAAGAAAAUCGAGUACUUCAACGAGGACAGCCAAGAACAGGAACCGAGUAUACCUACACCAAAUUAAAUGAAUAAGUGAACAAAUACUCAAAUAAUUAAAUUAAUAAAAAAAAGAAAAAAAAGAGAGAAUAGACAGAUCCGAUAGAAUCAAAUAAUAUCAGCAGCAUUAAAUGUUGCAUUAAUUGGACGGCAAAAGAAAUCAUAUCAAAUCAUAUCCUAUCCUCUGACAGAAUAUUUUGAAAGAUACACGCCUCCACUUGCCAUCUUUUUAUCUUUUUAUGCAUAUGUGCGCAUAUACAAAUCCUUCACACACCUCACAUAAACAUUUUAACUCCACAACAUUCUCCCAACAAAGCCGAAGCAGGAGAAGGAAGCAAUCCAUGAGGACCUUUUGCAUAUCACAAAGGAGACAAAUUCAACAAGUCCUUUUCACAAUCACACAAAGGUAGAACACGGAGGAAGGUAACACUGUGAAAUAGAGAAUGAUUCGUGAAAAUCUUGAGAAGCAUAUGAGGGGAGAACACGGAGGAAGGUAACACUGUGAAAUAGAGAAUGAUUCGUGAAAAUUUUGAGAAGCAUAUGAGGUUGAGCAGCGAAGUGGUGGAGGAAGUGCUAUUGAGACAAGACAUUUAAUUCAGUCAGAUUUUGACUCUCGGAGGUUCAUGUCUUCAUACAUGGAACCGCGUUCAUUUACUUUCGUUGUGCAUCUGAAAAUACUCAAGUCUAUUUUGUUCAAAACUCUGAUAUUUUGAGAUUUUUACAAAUAAUUACUCGAGUUUUCAUGAUCGAGUAUCUUUUCUUAUGUAUCAGCACUUGAUUAGUCAA